GAUGAACGCUGGCGGCGUGCCUAAUACAUGCAAGUCGAGCGAACGGACGAGAAGCUUGCUUCUCUGAUGUUAGCGGCGGACGGGUGAGUAACACGUGGAUAACCUACCUAUAAGACUGGGAUAACAUCGGGAAACCGGAGCUAAUACCGGAUGAUACUUUGAACCGCAUGGUUCAAAAGUGAAAGACGGUCUUGCUGUCACUUAUAGAUGGAUCCGCGCUGCAUUAGCUAGUUGGUAAGGUAACGGCUUACCAAGGCAACGAUGCAUAGCCGACCUGAGAGGGUGAUCGGCCACACUGGAACUGAGACACGGUCCAGACUCCUACGGGAGGCAGCAGUAGGGAAUCUUCCGCAAUGGGCGAAAGCCUGACCGAGCAACGCCGCGUGAGUGAUGAAGGUCUUCGGAUCGUAAAACUCUGUUAUUAGGGAAGAACAUAUGUGUAAGUAACUGUGCACAUCUUGACGGUACCUAAUCAGAAAGCCACGGCUAACUACGUG
rnacentral:rRNA from 1 species